rnacentral:rRNA from 1 species
GAUGAACGCUGGCGGCGUGCCUAAUACAUGCAAGUCGAGCGAACAGACGAGGAGCUUGCUCCUUUGACGUUAGCGGCGGACGGGUGAGUAACACGUGGGUAACCUACCUAUAAGACUGGGAUAACUUCGGGAAACCGGAGCUAAUACCGGAUAAUAUUUCGAACCGCAUGGUUCGAUAGUGAAAGAUGGCUCUGCUAUCACUUAUAGAUGGACCUGCGCCGUAUUAGCUAGUUGGUAAGGUAACGGCUUACCAAGGCAACGAUACGUAGCCGACCUGAGAGGGGGAUCGGCCACACUGGAACUGAGACACGGUCCAGACUCCUACGGGAGGCAGCAGUAGGGAAUCUUCCGCAAUGGGCGAAAGCCUGACGGAGCAACGCCGCGUGAGUGAUGAAGGUCUUCGGAUCGUAAAACUCUGUUAUUAGGGAAGAACAAACGUGUAAGUAACUGUGCACGUCUUGACGGUACCUAAUCAGAAAGCCACGGCUAACUACGUG